CCGCAUUACACACAUAAUAUAUAUAUAUAUAUAUAUAUAUAUAUAUAUAUAUAUUAUAAAACCCUGAAUCAAUGUUACAAAUCAAAAUUAAGUAGCUACUACUAUGAUCUUACAAACUCUUACUUGCAAAAUGUGACAACAAUAUAUGGUACUAAUGCUAAUUAAGAUUUCAAAUCUGAAAGGAAAUUAAACUAUAUAUAUAUAUAUAUAUAUAGGGUGGUCACCAUCAUAAGAUGGACGUACAAUAUUUUUAGCUAGAAAUUAAAUUAUAUCACAAUAUGUAAUUAAGACUAGCUAGUACUACAAAUCUAGAUAGGAGAAGUAAUAUGGAUAGAUAGAUAGAUGGAUAGAUCGAUACUAAUCGGUAGUAAUUAAUUAAUGAAGUAGUCGGACCAGGAGCUCUUGAUUCCCCUUAAUUGCAUGCAUAUACAUGUGACAUGUAUGCACCACGGUUCUUUGCUCGAUCAAUCGGUAAAACUUUAGGAAAAAUCUCACCCAAAACCAUCUAUUCGAUCAUGAGAUGUACUGACGAGACUAGAGUAGUAGUAGUGGUUAUCACGGAAGAAUAAGACACAUGAAUUGGACCGCAUAGUUUGAAAUUUUACAACCAAAUCCAUGUUUUUCUUGCAUAUAUAUGUAGAAUUAAGAGAAGCUAUAUGGAUAUAGAUAUUGUAGAAUAUAAGAAGAAUAUUAUAGCUCAAGCUGGACUUAUAAGAUAAGAAGCCUUAUAUAUAUAUAGUAGUAG
rnacentral:lncRNA from 1 species